UAAGGGCGCACGGUGGAUGCCUUGGCACUAGAAGCCGAUGAAGGACGUUACUAACGACGAUAUGCUUUGGGGAGCUGUAAGUAAGCUUUGAUCCAGAGAUUUCCGAAUGGGGAAACCCAGCAUGAGUUAUGUCAUGUUAUCGAUAUGUGAAUACAUAGCAUAUCAGAAGGCACACCCGGAGAACUGAAACAUCUUAGUACCCGGAGGAAGAGAAAGAAAAUUCGAUUCCCUUAGUAGCGGCGAGCGAAACGGGAAGAGCCCAAACCAACAAGCUUGCUUGUUGGGGUUGUAGGACACUCUAUACGGAGUUACAAAGGACGACAUUAGACGAAUCAUCUGGAAAGAUGAAUCAAAGAAGGUAAUAAUCCUGUAGUCGAAAAUGUUGUCUCUCUUGAGUGGAUCCUGAGUACGACGGAGCACGUGAAAUUCCGUCGGAAUCUGGGAGGACCAUCUCCUAAGGCUAAAUACUCUCUAGUGACCGAUAGUGAACCAGUACCGUGAGGGAAAGGUGAAAAGCACCCCGGAAGGGGAGUGAAAUAGAACCUGAAACCGUGUGCUUACAAGUAGUCAGAGCCCGUUAAUGGGUGAUGGCGUGCCUUUUGUAGAAUGAACCGGCGAGUUACGAUUUGAUGCAAGGUUAAGCAGUAAAUGUGGAGCCGUAGCGAAAGCGAGUCUGAAUAGGGCGUUUAGUAUUUGGUCGUAGACCCGAAACCAGGUGAUCUACCCUUGGUCAGGUUGAAGUUCAGGUAACACUGAAUGGAGGACCGAACCGACUUACGUUGAAAAGUGAGCGGAUGAACUGAGGGUAGCGGAGAAAUUCCAAUCGAACCUGGAGAUAGCUGGUUCUCUCCGAAAUAGCUUUAGGGCUAGCCUCAAGUGAUGAUUAUUGGAGGUAGAGCACUGUUUGGACGAGGGGCCCCUCUCGGGUUACCGAAUUCAGACAAACUCCGAAUGCCAAUUAAUUUAACUUGGGAGUCAGAACAUGGGUGAUAAGGUCCGUGUUCGAAAGGGAAACAGCCCAGACCACCAGCUAAGGUCCCAAAAUAUAUGUUAAGUGGAAAAGGAUGUGGCGUUGCCCAGACAACUAGGAUGUUGGCUUAGAAGCAGCCAUCAUUUAAAGAGUGCGUAAUAGCUCACUAGUCGAGUGACACUGCGCCGAAAAUGUACCGGGGCUAAACAUAUUACCGAAGCUGUGGAUUGUCCUUUGGACAAUGGUAGGAGAGCGUUCUAAGGGCGUUGAAGCAUG
rnacentral:rRNA from 1 species